rnacentral:rRNA from 1 species
UACGUAGGUGGCAAGCGUUGUCCGGAUUUAUUGGGCGUAAAGAGCUCGUAGGCGGUUUGUCGCGUCUGCCGUGAAAGUCCGGGGCUCAACUCCGGAUCUGCGGUGGGUACGGGCAGACUAGAGUGAUGUAGGGGAGACUGGAAUUCCUGGUGUAGCGGUGAAAUGCGCAGAUAUCAGGAGGAACACCGAUGGCGAAGGCGGAUCUCUGGGCCAUUACUGACGCUGAGGAGCGAAAGCGUGGGGAGCGAACAGG